AAUUUUGGACAAUGGGGGCAACCCUGAUCCAGCCAUCCCGCGUGUGCGAUGAAGGCCUUCGGGUUGUAAAGCACUUUUGGCAGGGAAGAAAAGGCUCUGGCUAUACCUGGAGCUGCUGACGGUACCUGCAGAAUAAGCACCGGCUCACCACGUGCCAACAGCCGCGGUAAUCAGUAGGGUGCAAGCCUUAAGCGGAAUUACUGGGCGUAAAGCGUGCGCAGGCGGUUCGGCAAGAAGGAUGUGAAAUCCCAGGGCUUAACCUUGGAACUGCAUUCUUAACUGCCGGGCUAGAGUAUGUCAGAGGGGGGUAGAAUUCCGCGUGUAGCAGUGAAAUGCGUAGAGAUGCGGAGGAAUACCGAUGUCGAAGGCAGCCCCCUGGGAUAAUACUGACGCUCAUGCACGAAAGCGUGGGGAGCAAGC
rnacentral:rRNA from 1 species